GUCCUAGCCGUAAACGAUGGACACUAGAUGUUGGAAGGUUUUAUCCUUUCAGUGUCGUAGCUAACGUGUUAAGUGUCCCGCCUGGGGAGUACGCUCGCAAGGGUGAAACUCAAAGGAAUUGACGGGGGCCCGCACAAGCGGUGGAGCAUGUGCUUUAAUUCGAUGCAACGCGAAGAACCUUACCUGGGCUUGACAUGGGAAUGAAAGGCUGCAGAGAUGUGGCCCCUUCCGCAAGGAACAUUCUACACAGGUGCUGCAUGGUUGUCGU
rnacentral:rRNA from 1 species